GCCUUAUCUUAUAGGUAGGAUAGCCUUAUGCAUAUCCCACGCAUGCUUAUACUCCUUUACUGUGUUAACCUAUACCACUUCAGCUGGAAGCCUAUUCCAUGCAUUUCUCUACCCUCUCAGUAAAGUAAUACAUCCGGAUAUUAUUUUCAAACCUUCGCCCCUCUAAUUUAAAACUAUGUCCUCUUGUUGUGGUAGUUAUUCUUCUUUUAAAUAGAGUUUCCUCCUUUACUGCGUUGAUUCCCUUUAUGUAUUUAAAUGUUUCCAUCAAAUCCCCCCUGUCUCGUCUUUCCUCCU